GAAAGAAAACAACAUUUAUUUCAACAUUUUCACUCUUUCAGCUGCACUAAGUAUUCAGCUUCCUGUUUCUGAGUUUUAUUUAAACCUCUGAUGUCCAACAGAGAAAAGGAAGAAGCUGCCAACAGAACCAACUGGUCUGUCUGGUACCAAACCAGGAGAGGCGCUGCUCAGGCAUGACAUUUAAAAUCAAACAUCCAGCGAUAUUUAUGGAAUCAUAGUGGAAGGUGUGACCACAGAACUAAACUUUAACUAGACCGGGUUCACACCUCUGCUCAGGUGAGGCCCUAUGGCGCUACUUCGCUCACGUUAGUCGGUGUUUCUCCUCCAAUGGCGCUUGCCCCUCUCCAUUCUCACAUUGAACGGUUUAGCCAAUGUCGUACCGCCUCAUAAUGGACCGAGCCUAUCAAUGUCCGCGCUCACAAUGGAAAUCGGCCAAUCACCGUGGCGACAUGCGAGCCUAUCAAUGUCCGCGCUCACAAUGGAAAUCGGCCAAUCACCGUGGCGACAUGCGAACCUAUCAAUGUCCGCGCUCACAAUGGAAAUCGGCCAAUCACCGUGAGCCCUCCCUCUCUCAGACGCCCUCACGCCCCCCACCACCACAAACAAAACAAAUUUCGAAUUUUAUUUUUAAAAAUAAAAACCGUUGGAAGAUUCUGAAAGUCAGAUGUCAGUAGCCUAGCUUCGUUGAAGAAGGAUUCGUCAUCACAUCAUUGAUCUCUCGACCUAAACGAUCUUGCUGUGAGUACCCAUUAAUAUUGUUUAUUGUCUGUUGUCGUUCAAACAGAUUUCGUAUUUAUAAUUGUACAUCAGCUAAAAUAAUAUAUUGUGGGUUAAAUAAAAGGGCGACAUAAUGAUGUCAUGUUCUGAGUGCAAGAGUAAGGACACAUUUUAUUUUAUAAUAUAGUAGUAACAUUUUAAGUUAAAAUGUAAAUGCAUACAUAGAUAUCAACCUAUAUAUAGACCAACCUCGAUCGAUCGAUCGAGGGUUAUAGUUUUUUUUUUUUACCUCAUCAUAAUUAGCACAGAAAACUAUGGCUUUGAUUUUACUUUUAAAUGCUUUUAUGUCAUACCCAUUGUUAGUUGUGCACAAAGUGCAUCAUUAGUUUAUGGAAUUUGAUUCUGCUAAUUCCCAAUGUUAUCUUCAGAUGAGCACCAAGCCAAAGAGCCACAAAGGUAUGGGGGAUGGGGAGUGGAUGGCAAGGCUUAAGGCAUUUGCCAGCACUGGGGUUUGGCCUUCCAAUGCAGGGAAUAGACCAGCCCCAAGGCAGAAGAAAUGGCAUGAUAUCUAUCAGAAGAUAGAAAAAUGCCCCAUGCAAGUUCGGGGACAGACCACCCUUUUUGGAGCGUCUGUCACUUGUGACUGUGGCUUUCACACUGUUAAACCUGCACUGCAGCCUCCUUCUGCACCUCCUUCUUUGACCCCACAGUCUGUGGGUUCACAAUCUAAUUCUGGAGAUACAGCAACAGCCACCCGCUGUUUCCUGAGGUCCCCUCCAUCUUUGUCAAGGGCAGUCAGCUGCCUCCACCCAGCCUGCUGCCUCCACCCUGUCUGCUGCCUCCACUCUGUCUGCUCCCUCCACCCAGCCAGCUCCCUCCACCCAGCCAGCUCCCUCCACCCAGCCAGCUCCCUCCACCCUGUCUGCUGCCUCCACCCAGCCUGGCAUUGCUGAGCCUAUGUCAGAGGGUUUAGAUGAGGCCGGUGUACCAGGCCUGGACAAAGUUGACAGCUUGGCUGAGUAUCUGGUGGAGCUAAGGAGCAAAACCUCACUGGUGCUGACCAACCAGGAGGUGAGCUGCAUUGUUGCUCUGUGGCAGAACCUGCUGGAGUUUGAUAAACAGAGAACGGUAUUUGCUGCAAGACAUCAAGAAAGAUUGAACACUGGGAGGUUUCGGUCCCCCAAGAAGAGGCAAGAAUUUACUCCUGGGGUUGAGAGUGUAAAGAGGCAUGCUCUAACCACUCCAGCCCCAUCUGCCCAAUGGCCAGACUGCUGCCGCUUGGUGGAGACCAUCUUUGUCCGACUGUGCAAUAUCCAUCGUAGUCCAAAGAAAAGAGGAGCAGGCACAGUCUCCAGGUGCAGCCCCUGCUCAACCUGGUAGAGAACCUCGAAAAUUGACUCGCAAAGUUUUGCACAACACAUGCAAAAAAUGCGGGCAGUUUAGAAUAGCUGAAACAGGACACAGCCAAUAUAGAGGGCAAAUUUACUGUCCCUCUAAUGAAAGUCUCACUAAAGAGCAGUGGCUGGAACAAAUUAAAAAGAAAAAAUAAACAUUUUCUUUAUUUUAAAUAACUUCACUGUAUAUAAGUUUUAUUUAGUUCAUAGUGUGUUUAUUUUGUUUUGGGUUAAUGAUACAGAUAUUUAUUCUUAUUGUCAUUGUGUACACAAAGUAAUUCAACAAACCAUACAGUAAAAGGAUUUAAGUCCUUCAGCAAACCACAAAUUUCUUGGUUAAGAAAAAGAAAUGGGAGACUUCAAUGGAAAUGUGUUGCAUCCAAAUGCUACAAUGUUUUGGGACUAACUAAAAAUGUUUAAUUCACUGUCUUAAUUGUUGAAUAAAUAUUUGGUUCUUUUAAACCGAUAAGGUCUAUGGUCUUUUGUGAGUAAAUAUUAGCUGCUUCAAAUUCUGAAUUAUUGGUAAUUUAAGCAUACACUAGAAAAAAGAUAUCAUUCACUUCACUCAAAGUACUUUAGGAAAGACACUUGCAAUUUUAGUUUCAGUCACUGUUUUGUGGGAAAAAUGAAAAUAAGCACUGGGUAUGAUUAAGGACAUUAAAAUAUACAUCAAGUAUAUAGUAUACAGUAUAAUUUAACACAUUAAUUUGAAUAUAUCAGAAUAAAAAAGCAAAAUUAAUUAAGCAAUUCAAAGUUUUAAAAAGAAAGCCUUUUAUGACAAGUGUUGGGUUUUAGUUUACAGUACUACACUAUCUGUACAAAAAAGCAUUUAAAAUGUUUUCAAGAUACAAAAAAACAGCCGUUACUUCAUAACACUUAAACAUUAAUUGUGGGAAAUCUUUUCACUAAAACAUAGUAUGGCGACUGGUAGGAUCGAACUCGCGACUCUGGGAUCGGCCUCACUCUUCCCCUUUCUUCUCCCCUCCCUUUCUUCCCCCUUCCUUCCUUUCUUCCCCCCCCCAAGCAGACUAUUGUUCCCCAACUUUAGCUCAGUGGUUAGAGCACUGGUCUUGUAAACCAGGGGUCGCGAGUUCAAAUCUCGCUGGGGCCUGAAUUAUUUUUCUAUUUCCAAUUAUUUACACAUUUUUAAAAACAACAAAUUGUUCACACAAUUGUGAUCUGAUGUGCUACAGCAACUGGGAUCAGUUUCUGAGGUUAAACAUGAUUUAAACACAAAUAAGCCGGAUAAAAUCUGAGGGAAAUAAUCCCACCUGAUGAAUAAUAUUCCAACCGUCUCUUGAUUUUGGACAACAAAUAACACACAUUGCUUUACAUUUUAAAGAAAGAUAAUAUGGCAGAUAUUUCUCACUGACAAUAAAUCAGCCUAAACAUAUCUGUUUAUUCCUAACCUAAGAAUUAUUUCUGUUAGCUGCUCCAAUGAUGUCAGAAGUUUACAUACAUCUUCUGAACGUUUUUUGUUUCUUUCCAGAAAAUUCUCACAACAGUUUGUUGGGGUUUUGGAUCAUUCCUCCUGACAGAACUGUUGGAAAUGGGUCAGGCUGGUAAAACCUAAAUUACUGACUUUGUUACCUCUUAGAUUUUGACCAGCAGGUGAUUUUUUUAAUUACUAAACUCCAAACUUUUCCAAAUUUCCACACUUCUUUUUUAGCUUUAUGGGUAUUUGAAUAGAAAGUAUAAUCUUUAAAAUUGUUUGGGGGGCGUGCCGUGGUGGCGUAGUGGUUAGCGCGACCCGUAUUUGGAGGCCUUGAGUUCUCGACGU